UACGGGGGGUGCGAGCGUUGCUCGGAUUUACUGGGCGUAAAGCGUACGCAGGCGGCCAAACAAGUCAGGUGUGAAAGCCCAGGGCUCAACCCUGGAAAUGCGCCCGAUACUGUAUGGCUCGAGUGCGGGAGAGGGAAGCGGAAUUCCUGGUGUAGAGGUGAAAUUCGUAGAUAUCAGGAGGAACACCAGUGGCGAAAGCGGCUUCCUGGCCCGAUACUGACGCUCAAGUACGAAAGCGUGGGGAGCAAACAGG
rnacentral:rRNA from 1 species